rnacentral:piRNA from 1 species
UAUAGUUUCAAAAGCUUUGAC